rnacentral:tRNA from 1 species
GGUGAAGUAUUUUAAUAAAAAUUUUAAAUUGCAAAUUUAAAGAUGGCUAGGAGGGUCCUUUGCUU